GUGGACUCUGGUUUCCUGGGAAAAGCUUUUGUUGUGGACAACGUUGCCCUCAGCAGGGUUGGAAGCUGAUAAUGAACGGCGGUGGAGUGGACACAGCCGAACAGCAGCUGAACUGCGUGUUACUCAGCAGACCAGACGCUUUUAACCUCCCAGCAGGCAGGCUGAGGUCCAUGCAAGCACAUUAACUCUGAAAUGCACUUACGUGAGACCUCCUCAGAUGAGACAGGAUUCCACAUUUUAGAAAGCAUAUGCUCCCUAAAAAUAAAUUCAUGCCACCUUAAAAAUUGAAAGAGGGGUAUGUGUAUAUCUUUCAAUCCAGUCAGAGGGAGUACUUUUGGUUAUUUUCUGCAGUCUUGCAUUUUCUUGUCUGUGCUCCACAGUUUUUUUAGUGCAGGAGUCCGUCACCAUCCAACCCUGCAAGACACACUGCCACAGAAAUCAUCUCAGUUUUUUCAGGUGUUACUGAGGACACAGGGAGGUGAGAAUGAGGAAGGGAGGCAGAGGAGACGGCGUAGGGGGAGAGAAGGAUGGGCUGCUGGAUGAACAGGGUGUGCCGGUUGUUGAGUGUUCCAUCCUCUCUUCUCUAAAAAAAUCAUCCCAUAAGUGGCUCCUGAUACUAAUUAUGUACCAG